rnacentral:tRNA from 1 species
GCGGAGGUGGUGGAAUUGGUAGACACGCUAGAUUUAGGAUCUAGUGCCGUAUGGCAUGGGGGUUCAAGUCCCCCCCUCCGCA